rfam:Lentinula edodes NBRC 111202 DNA, contig: scaffold1584.
GCAUUAAUGGGGUAGUGGUAACCUGGGUCGUUGCCAUUUUUCGAAUUGCGAAGUGCCGAUGUGUCGACCCGCCGGGGGUUCGAUUCCCUCUUAAUGCA